UACGUAGGGGGCAAGCGUUGUCCGGAUUUAUUGGGCGUAAAGAGCUCGUAGGUGGUUCGGUAAGUCGGAUGUGAAAUCUCCAGGCUCAACCUGGAGGGGUCAUUCGAUACUGCCGUGACUAGAGUUCGGUAGGGGAGUGUGGAAUUCCACGUGUAGCAGUGAAAUGCGUAGAGAUGUGGAGGAACACCGAUGGCGAAGGCAGCCCCCUGGGUCGAUACUGACGCUCAUGCACGAAAGCGUGGGGAGCAAACAGG
rnacentral:rRNA from 1 species